UGUUCGAUGAUCAUUUCGCUCAGCGUAC
rnacentral:sRNA from 1 species